UAAAGUAAGUACUGACCAAAACAGGCUUCCAUAAGGAGCAAAAGCUUUGGGGAACACCUCAAUGUUAACUUUAGAGAUGUUACACAGUCAAAUACAUCUACUGAGAGCAAGAGGACAGAACAGAAAAGAAGAUUUUUGUGUGUGUGCCUGAAAAAUGGAAUAAAGGUUGUAAGCAAUUAAAACCAUGCCCAGCACAUUCCUAUCAAGAUUUGCUGCUAAGGAUUGAAAAAACAAACAAGUUUUUUAUGUACAAGGUAUGCAUAAUCUUCCAAACACAAUAAAAGCAACUCAUUCAGUACUCUUUUCUUUUCAUCUUUUUCAGAAGUUUCCAGCCCUCAUACAUACAAGUUUUACAUACACCCACAAGUUUUACAAUGCUUGUAGAGGCAGAUUCACUGUUUUUAAAAUGAACACAUAGUUCCAAACCAAUUUUUUUAAACCAAAAAUUUGCUUCCAAGGCAGCUCUUAGCACGGGGACACUCACAUCCCCAGCAGUCCUUUACAGCCAGACCUGACCCACUGCUCUCUGGGACUAAGUGCACAUGGUGCAGCUACAACGAGAAAUGCAUCAUGCCUGCCCAGGACCCUCAGACUUGCUGAGAGAACUGCUCUUGGCUGAGAGUGAACAAUGCUGCCCAAGAAAAUGUCAGAAAAUGCCAUCAUCCCGGUCUCUGGUCUCAUCAAGGAUCUAUUUCUUCAGCAAGAGGAAACACAAGUCUGGUCAAGCCCCACUUUCAAGGGAUGAGACGAUCAAAUUUAGAAGUUAUAUAAACCUUUGUCACUUCUCUGAGCAAGAUGUACCAAUAAUUAGGGGAAGACCUGCCCUCUUGAUGCAACUUGGGAUAAGAAAGGUCAGUCAAUUUUUUCUGAACUCCACAUAUGUUGUGUUAUUUCUGUUUCAUUUCUGUUGCAUUAUUUCUUAACUAAAUACCUAAAAAAAAACCAACCCAUAAUUAUUUGUUUUACCUACCACUAUCAAAAUCUCUUGUCCCAAAAAGAAAGAGCACCUAUAAAAUAGGUCAAGUUCUUGGUAAUGGAACUGCUCUUAUUUUUUUAUACACUUCCCAGCUGCUGUCAAGCCUCAGAGAUUCCACAUUCUACUCAGGCCAAUUAGGGGUUUGUCAAUGAUUACACUUCCUAUUAAAAGAUAAAAGGAAAGUCACCUUAAAAAGGUGUUUUUUAAAAAUCUUUUUAGAGAACUGCAUUGGGGCAUUGCCUCUUCAUUGUCUCUUUAACCGACUGAUGAAAGGAUCAAACAUGAGAACUGUGACUUCUAUCAACAAGUGAGAAGAUGAUAGACUGGAAAGUAAAGGGGAAGAGCUCUUUCCAUCUCUCUGAAUCCCUGACACCACAUUUCCAACAGGUUGUAGAAACUAUUUCUAUAACACUAAGCCUUUAUUCUGUAUGGAAAUCACUGCUGGGAUUCUAAGAUCUUGUAUCAAGAUGAUUUCACUUGAAAACACAUCUCCAGUUCAUUGUUAACACAGGCUGAUCUCGAACUCCUGACUCCAUCCUUCUUCCUUACAUCAGAAGACUGAACCUAGAAGUUUUAAAGUCAUUGCUUAUUGCUGUAAAAUUGGAAGUGUUUUCCAAGUGAUACAGAAUACAAAGAACUACCUGUAGAAUGACUGAAGUGAGUGAGAGAAAGAUGAGCCAGUUGUUCCCAAUUCUGGGUAUAGAUACAGGACAAUGUGAGGGAUGUUAGGAAGGAUGUUUUUUAAUCACAGCAAUUGAGACAGUGAUGUUUCCUUAUUAUCUGUGCAUUUCCACAGAUAGUUGAACUUGCUUUCAGGCACAGGAUACCAUACUGUCAGACUAACUUGAAAGAGCAUUUCUAUUGCUAGUCAAGAAGUCUUCCCUUUAGCUCCAGACAACCACCUGUUACCAGCACAGAUAUGUAAGUUCAAACGACUCAACAACCCAAAAUUCAAGCUAUUAGAAUGUUCUUCCUUUAAUCCCAACACACUUUAUCUUUCUGCGUUUAUCAAAACCCCAUACUGAAGGCAGAAGAACCUUUAAAGCCACACCAAGAUCUUGGCCAAGGCUAGGGUCCACUUUAUACAGAGUGCCUCUGUGGAAGACAGGAUCAGAUGGAACAUGUCACAUAGCAGCAGUCAGAUUUCUGGAGAGCAGGUAAAUAAACAGUCAUAGCUCCAGUGUUUGGAGGCUAAACAUCUAUUUCUGCUGUUUCACCUGGACAUAUCAUUAGGCAGAACGAAGCAAUGGCCCACCAAAGAACAACCUGUGGGUAUCCUGGUCAGUCUGACAUGCUUCCCAAACUAAGAUAUGGGUAAUCAUUAAUCUGCUGCAAACUUGCCACCAGCUCUGUUGCCAAAACAAGAACUAGUACUGGGCUCAAUCUUCACAGAAGGCUACAAUGCUGCACAUAUCACAUCUCAGUUAUCAAGCACUUCAGCAAAAAUCCAUUAUCAAUUAUUUAAAGAAACUAAACAGUAAUCCAAUCCAAGGAUAAGAGUUUCUCAUGUUUAAUCAAACAGAUCUCCAGUGCACAGUAGCAAUUUAUAUAUGAAUACUGGUCCAUUAAGAAGUUGAGACCAGUUUUGAAAUGGAAGCAUUCUGAACAGUAGAAGCAACCAACACAAAUUACAUAAACAAUCCACAACCUAAUUUAAUUCAAAAAAUCUUCAGCUUAAACAUUAGCCAGAUUCUGUGAGAUUACCUAGGGAAAAUGUCAUGUAUGCUUACUUUGUUUUUAUGCUUUCCUAGACAGUUUAUGGAUGCUGGGCUUUCUGUUUACAGACAAGCGUUCUUUUUUUUAAGAUACAAAUGUAUGUGUAUAUAUAUACCCACACACAUCUUAACACACAUACAUAAAAAAUACUACACUUUAUUAAAAAUUCCUUCUUUUUCUGUAUGUUUCCAUAUAUGUAUGCAGUCAUGUGCACACAUACAAACAAAGUGAAAUAUACGUAUUUUUAAAGGGCGUUUAAAAGACAGAUUGUGACUUCCAAUCCAUUACUGGAUUGGAACAAUUACAGGAAUAACCCUGUUCAGUUCAAAUGGGUAAUAUCCUAACAUAAAGACCACAUCAAACAAGAGAAAGUUCCUGAUGCAGGGUCUUUCUUCAGUGCAAUAUUAGGAAGUAGGAAUCUUUUUCUUACAGGUAGCCACACCCACAGCUGCUAACCUAAGAAAUACCAUUUCUUGCCUGGUAUUUCAGGUCAUCCUCUUGCAUUUAUACUGGCUCCCUAAAGACUUGCAGAAGAGCAGGGAAAGAAGAGUGGCAAAUGCAUAAUCUAUUCUCUACUAAGGGAUGGACUUCCUGGAGACCUUCAAGUCUUAUGUCUUUAGCAUUAUCAGUCAUUCUGCUGCCUUAUUUUUCAAUCCCCUCUGCAAAGCUAUCAGAUCUUUUUGGAAACUGCUAAUUUGCAGGCCCAGGGCAAUUACAUAAGAUGUUAUUUUAGUCAUGGACAAUGCAUUAAAUUUUGGAUUCUGCCGCUGUUGCACAUUAGCACAAUGAAUUCUUCACCAGUUUUUGGAUAAUGACAUCUAGGCACUUGGGGACCACAUUAUGCUUUUUUUUCCCUAUCUGGAACUGAAUUUAAGGCUAUCCAGACACGAAAUUUUCUGGCCCCAGCUUCUUCUCAUCAGGAGACAUCCAUGUCUUCUAUCUUCUUGAAAAUCUGCCCAGAGAUAAUAUUAACAGGAGCUCCUGAUAGAUUCGGCAUGGUUUCAGAAGCUGCACUGCAUGUUAGAAAAAGGAGUUAGAUGGACCUUCAGUCUGACCCAAUGACAGUUCUUAAUAUUUGAAAACCUGCUAUAUUAAAGGGGACCAAAGUACUUUCAGGUUUGCAACAGACUUACGUGUUACACACCUAGGCUGUAGGACUUCAUAUGCAACACAAGUAACAAGUUUUACCCUUUAACAUUGUAGUUAAUUUUGCAUUAGUACAUAAUACUCCUGCACUUUGAUACCAGAUGCCAACUACAGAACUAAAGUGACUGCCUCUACAGAUAUCCUGUACUCAACACAAACAGGAAGUCAUAUCCUGAGAUCUCAAAACACCAAAGAUUUCCUUCUACUUCAAAACAGAACUGUAUUAUUAUAAAGUUAAUUUACAAAUUAAUCUCUGUAGUCUUCUCUCAUCUAGUGCUUAAGCGCAUUGCUGCUUCUUAAAGUAAGUGAAAUCCAAAUACAAACAGGUCAUUUAUAUAAAUGCAUAUGCAUCCCAUCGUGGUUCACAAUCAUCUAUCCACAGAUUUGCCCUUCCUGCUGAAGUUCAUGAAAAAAACCAGGAAAAACAUUUUCCUGACUGUCUCCCCUGACUAACUCUGCUCCUCUGUUUAUUUCACACUGACUGGCUUUCUGUCCAAGGAUUUUGUAACAGCGGUAAAAGUAGUAACUUGCUUUAUUCAUGAAGCUUACUGCCAAACUAGUGGAAAGCUUUCAAACCCAGAAUUCUGGAAAUACAGAUUUAACAAAAACAUUGCUCUAGCUAGACUUGGUUAAAUGUCACAGUCGGAAGAUUUAGUGUGCCUACUCUCUGCUUAUUAAGGAAAUAUUUCCAGUAUUUCCAAAUUAAGAAACUCUACAACUGAGACUAACUGAAUACAGCAUGAGAUGUAUGAAGUUGAGGAGCAGAACAGAUACCUACCUGACAGAAAUAAAGUUAUGGGUGAAAAAAAGUUCAUGUUAACCUUUCAAAUGCAAGUAUUCUUAGCUUUCCCAGUCUAGUUAUAAGGAAGAAUAGUAAGCAUUAAAAGUGAUCUAAAUUUUGAAGUAAUUACAGAAAAAUAAAACUCAAUGUAUUAACUCACCCUGGAGGAAAAAACAGAGUAAUCUAAUUCAAACUCAUCUAUGGCUGUCCAGAGAGAUUACCUCCUGGAAGUGAAGUAAUUAUAUUUGUAAAGUAAAAUCAUUUAUGCCUAGGGUACAGAAGCCCAAGGGAUUUUAUUUUUUUAUUAUUAUUUGAAAUGUGUAAAAGCUUUAUCAUGACAUCCAUAGUGAGGAAAGAGCUUUGUGCACAAAAGUACAUAUUCUGUGUAAUGGCCUUUAUCAGAAGUGGUAAACAGGUAAGUGUAACUAGUAAAACUGUAUCACACCAGAUGUCACACAUGAAUGGACAUACAGUUGCACUUUUCCCUAUAGGGCCCAUACAUUCGAAGCUAAGUAGUAGACUGUUCUGAAACUAAUUACACAAGCAUUUCUUGCCAAAUUUGUAAUUAGACUAAUUCUUAAAAUUCUAAAGAAAGAAUUCUUAAUGGUUUCCCUGGAUGUUCCUCUAUGUAGGUUUUUUGCUAGUACCUUACUAAUAAAAUUACCAACCAAACACUAUAUUCUUACAAGCUCAUACUUAAAGUGUCUUAGUGCAACAACUCCAAUUAACAGCAACACCUAAUAGUACCAUUCUGACAGCCUCACUGUCAUACAAAACUCUCAAAACAGUUGUAGUUUUUGGAGAAACAAGGUGUGUGGUCAACAAGGCCUAACUUAGGUCUUGUCUACAAAAGAGAACUCUACCAGAAGCCAGAAGCUCAAGGUUUGAACAGUUAAAAAGAGACAAAGUAAAACAAUACCAGAAACUUGAAAUAAUCUAUGAAGCAUUCAGUUAUCUCAGAAAUCCCAAAUUACAACAAUGUGCCUUGAGACCUUCCACUUUAUGAGGAAUCCACCUGCUGAACAGUCUGCCCUUCUCUUUUCCAUUUCCUAUUCAUUAGUACCAACAAAGUUCUUCCUUCUAAAGGCCCCCAGUGCUUCCUGAACAGCAUGGAAUCUGAUGUAAGACUGAGAACUGUGUGGUAAACUUGGUAAGAACUACACAUUUCUUUCUGCUGCUGUUUAGUUAGUCUGUGCUGUUUGCAGAGCUAUUUG
rnacentral:lncRNA from 13 species